rnacentral:lncRNA from 1 species
GGAUGAAGUAGGGAGGAAGGGCAGGCAGCCAUAUUCGAAAAAGGCAAAGCCCUUAACAUGUGGGUCCCGCCGUCAUUAAAAUAAAAGUAAUAUCAUCAUCACUGUGUGGCCAUAAAGAGCUAUACGACACACAUGAAGGCAGUACAGUGGUGAGCCAAUGAGACGCCGACAACGCAUCCUCCAUAAACUACUUCUCCUUUCCCAAACCAGAAACCAAAAACCACUUGUCACCAAACCCCAGCUUCAGAUAUUUUUUCACCACUUCCAUUUUGGUUCUCACCUUUUAUGGUUACCAUAACAUUGCACACUUCCGCUCACUGUGCUUUCCCAUGACACCACUCUAUUCCUGUCCAGAAGAAGAAACAUCCAUGAACUAACAUUCCCACCCUCGCUUCACCAUUUUUGCCACC